rnacentral:rRNA from 1 species
GGCGGCGUGCUUAACACAUGCAAGUCGAGCGGAAAGGCCCUUCGGGGUACUCGAGCGGCGAACGGGUGAGUAACACGUGAGCAACCUGCCCUAGGCUUUGGGAUAACCCCGGGAAACCGGGGCUAAUACCGAAUAGGACCACUGGUCGCAUGAUUGGUGGUGGAAAGUUUUUCGGCCUGGGAUGGGCUCGCGGCCUAUCAGCUUGUUGGUGGGGUGAUGGCCUACCAAGGCGACGACGGGUAGCCGGCCUGAGAGGGCGACCGGCCACACUGGGACUGAGACACGGCCCAGACUCCUACGGGAGGCAGCAGUGGGGAAUAUUGCACAAUGGGCGGAAGCCUGAUGCAGCGACGCCGCGUGAGGAUGACGGCCUUCGGGUUGUAAACCUCUUUCAGCAGGGACGAAGCGUAAGUGACGGUACCUGCAGAAGAAGCGCCGGCCAACUACGUGCCAGCAGCCGCGGUAAGACGUAGGGCGCGAGCGUUGUCCGGAUUUAUUGGGCGUAAAGAGCUCGUAGGCGGCUUGUCGCGUCGACUGUGAAAACCCGCAGCUCAACUGCGGGCCUGCAGUCGAUACGGGCAGGCUAGAGUUCGGUAGGGGAGACUGGAAUUCCUGGUGUAGCGGUGAAAUGCGCAGAUAUCAGGAGGAACACCGGUGGCGAAGGCGGGUCUCUGGGCCGAUACUGACGCUGAGGAGCGAAAGCGUGGGGAGCGAACAGGAUUAGAUACCCUGGUAGUCCACGCUGUAAACGUUGGGCGCUAGGUGUGGGGGGCCUCUCCGGUUCCCUGUGCCGCAGCUAACGCAUUAAGCGCCCCGCCUGGGGAGUACGGCCGC